rnacentral:rRNA from 1 species
ACGUAGGGGGCGAGCGUUGUCCGGAUUUAUUGGGCGUAAAGAGCGCGUAGGCGGCCCGGGAAGUCGGUUGUGAAAACCCGGGGCUCAACCCCGGGCCUGCAUCCGAUACUCCCGGGCUAGAGGCAGGUAGGGGAGAGUGGAAUUCCCGGUGUAGCGGUGAAAUGCGCAGAUAUCGGGAGGAACACCGGUGGCGAAGGCGGCUCUCUGGGCCUGUCCUGACGCUCAGGCGCGAAAGCUAGGGGAGCAAACAGG